rnacentral:rRNA from 1 species
UACGUAGGGUGCGAGCGUUGUCCGGAAUUAUUGGGCGUAAAGAGCUCGUAGGCGGCUUGUCGCGUCGGAUGUGAAAGCCCGGGGCUUAACUCCGGGUCUGCAUUCGAUACGGGCAGGCUAGAGUUCGGUAGGGGAGAUCGGAAUUCCUGGUGUAGCGGUUAAAUGCGCAGAUAUCAGGAGGAACACCGGUGGCGAAGGCGGAUCUCUGGGCCGAUACUGACGCUGAGGAGCGAAAGCGUGGGGAGCGAACAGG